AGGGCGCAAAGCGAGCCGGUGGAUCCAUAAAGAACCCAGCCAACCCGCAGAGGUAGAGGAGGGGCUGAGCUGUGAGGAGAGCGGGGCCCAAGAACCAUGUUUAUGCGGGAGUCGUUUAACCCGGAAAGUUACGAAUUGGACAAAAGCUUCCAGCUAACCAGAUUCACUGAACUGAAGGGCACAGGCUGCAAAGUGCCCCAAGAUGUCCUGCAAAAAUUGCUGGAAUCUUUACAAGAGAACCACUUCCAAGAAGAUGAGCAGUUUCUGGGAGCCGUUAUGCCAAGGCUUGGCAUUGGAAUGGAUACUUGUGUCAUUCCUUUGAGGCACGGUGGGCUUUCCUUGGUUCAAACCACAGAUUACAUUUACCCGAUCGUAGACGACCCUUACAUGAUGGGCAGGAUAGCAUGUGCCAAUGUCCUCAGUGACCUCUACACAAUGGUGGUCACAGAAUGUGACAAUAUGCUGAUGCUCCUUGGAGUCGGUAAUAAAAUGACCGACAGGGAAAGGGAUAGUGAUGCCUCUGAUUAUCGAAGGUUUUAAAGAUGCAGCUGAGGAAGCAGGAACGUCUGUAACAGGUGGCCAAACAGUACUAAACCCCUGGAUUGUCCUGGGAGGAGUUGCUACCACUGUCUGUCAGCCCAAUGAAUUUAUCAUGCCGGACAAUGCAGUGCCAUGGGACGUGUUGGUGUUGACAAAACCCCUGGGGACACAGGUGGCAGUGGCUGUGCACCAGUGGCUGGAUAUUCCUGAGAAAUGGAAUAAGAUUAAACUAGUGGUCACCCAAGAAGAUGUAGAGCUGGCCUACCAGGAGGCAAUGAUGAACAUGGCGAGGCUCAACAAGACAGCUGCAGGACUUAUGCACACGUUCAAUGCCCACCGGGCCACUGACAUCACGGGCUUCGGGAUUUGGGGCCAUGUGCAGAACCGGGUCAAGCAGCAGAGGAACGAGGUGUCGUUUGUAAUUCACAACCUCCCGGUGCUGGCCAAGAUGGCUGCGGUGAGCAAGGCCUGUGGAAACAUGUUUGGCCUCAUGCAUGGGACCUGCCCGGAGACCUCAGGGGGCCUUCUGAUCUGUUUACCACGUGAGCAAGCAGCUCGGUUCUGUGCAGAGAUAAAGUCCCCCAAAUAUGGUGAAGGCCACCAAGCAUGGAUUAUUGGGAUUGUAGACAAGGACAACCGCACAGCCAGAAUCAUAGACAAACCCCGGAUCGUCGAGGUCGCACCACAAGUGGCCACUCAAAAGGUGAAUCCCCCACUUGGGGCCACCUCUUAA